rnacentral:rRNA from 1 species
UACAGAGGGUGCAAGCGUUAAUCGGAGUUACUGGGCGUAAAGGGCGCGUAGGCGGUUGAAUGUGUGAGAUGUGAAAUCCCUGGGCUUAACCUAGGAACUGCAUCUUAAACUGUUUAACUUGAGUACUGUAGAGGGUAGUGGAAUUUCCGGUGUAGCGGUGAAAUGCGUAGAUAUCGGGAGGAACACCAGUGGCGAAGGCGACCUCCUGGCCUGUUCUUGACGCUGAGGCGCGAAAGCUAGGGGAGCAAACGGG